GUUCCUUCGGGGACAUUCCAUAAAAUUGGAAUAAUACAUAGAAGAUUAGCAUGGCUCCUGCGCAAGGAUGACAUGCAUAAAUCGAAAAGUAGUCCAAAUUUCU